GGUGGCUCAGUGGUAGAGCUCUUGCCUUGCAUGCAUGAUACCCUGGGUUCAAUUCCCAAGCACCA
rnacentral:tRNA from 1 species